rnacentral:rRNA from 1 species
GGCGGCGUGCCUAAUACAUGCAAGUAGAACGCUGAAGAGAGGAGCUUGCUCUUCUUGGAUGAGUUGCGAACGGGUGAGUAACGCGUAGGUAACCUGCCUUGUAGCGGGGGAUAACUAUUGGAAACGAUAGCUAAUACCGCAUAACAAUGGAUGACACAUGUCAUUUAUUUGAAAGGGGCAAUUGCUCCACUACAAGAUGGACCUGCGUUGUAUUAGCUAGUAGGUGAGGUAAUGGCUCACCUAGGCGACGAUACAUAGCCGACCUGAGAGGGUGAUCGGCCACACUGGGACUGAGACACGGCCCAGACUCCUACGGGAGGCAGCAGUAGGGAAUCUUCGGCAAUGGGGGCAACCCUGACCGAGCAACGCCGCGUGAGUGAAGAAGGUUUUCGGAUCGUAAAGCUCUGUUGUAAGUCAAGAACGGGUGUGAGAGUGGAAAGUUCACACUGUGACGGUAGCUUACCAGAAAGGGACGGCUAACUACGUGCCAGCAGCCGCGGUAAUACGUAGGUCCCGAGCGUUGUCCGGAUUUAUUGGGCGUAAAGCGAGCGCAGGCGGUUUGAUAAGUCUGAAGUUAAAGGCUGUGGCUCAACCAUAGUUCGCUUUGGAAACUGUCAAACUUGAGUGCAGAAGGGGAGAGUGGAAUUCCAUGUGUAGCGGUGAAAUGCGUAGAUAUAUGGAGGAACACCGGUGGCGAAAGCGGCUCUCUGGUCUGUAACUGACGCUGAGGCUCGAAAGCGUGGGGAGCGAACAGGAUUAGAUACCCUGGUAGUCCACGCCGUAAACGAUGAGUGCUAGGUGUUGGAUCCUUUCCGGGAUUCAGUGCCGCAGCUAACGCAUUAAGCACUCCGCCUGGGGAGUACGACCGCAAGGUUGAAACUCAAAGGAAUUGACGGGGGCCCGCACAAGCGGUGGAGCAUGUGGUUUAAUUCGAAGCAACGCGAAGAACCUUACCAGGUCUUGACAUCCCGAUGCUAUUUCUAGAGAUAGAAAGUUACUUCGGUACAUCGGUGACAGGUGGUGCAUGGUUGUCGUCAGCUCGUGUCGUGAGAUGUUGGGUUAAGUCCCGCAACGAGCGCAACCCCUAUUGUUAGUUGCCAUCAUUCAGUUGGGCACUCUAGCGAGACUGCCGGUAAUAAACCGGAGGAAGGUGGGGAUGACGUCAAAUCAUCAUGCCCCUUAUGACCUGGGCUACACACGUGCUACAAUGGUUGGUACAACGAGUUGCGAGUCGGUGACGGCGAGCUAAUCUCUUAAAGCCAAUCUCAGUUCGGAUUGUAGGCUGCAACUCGCCUACAUGAAGUCGGAAUCGCUAGUAAUCGCGGAUCAGCACGCCGCGGUGAAUACGUUCCCGGGCCUUGUACACACCGCCCGUCACACCACGAGAGUUUGUAACACCCGAAGUCGGUGAGGUAACCUUUUGGAGCCAGCCGCCUAAGGUGGGACAGAUGAUUGGGGGAAG